GGGUUCCGCUUGACUCUGCAUUCUCCUACUUCCCUGCCUGCUUACUCUCUGCCAUCAUAGUUUUUUGCUUCAACCUUCAAAUUUCCCUGCUGGGAAUAAAUUAAAUUGGCAGAAGCUCAGUCUAAGUGCCUGCAACAGAAUUUGUCCCAUAUCCAUACAACUUGCUCCUCCACAACAAAUGGGAGAAUCAUCCUCUUACCUCCAGCACCUGCCUCAAACAAAGUUUCUGAUCCAUCUACCACGUAACUUUGACGCUGACCAAGAAUUACAGCUUCAAAGAAAUCAUUCGAGGAUCAUUAAUAUCUUGGUCAUGAAUAACUUUUAUGUGAAAGGCUCUGCAGCUAAUCUCAAGUGCAGUGAACUCUGUUUCAUUACUGUAUUUCCAAAUUUAGAGUUAUUUGGGUUGUAUAUAGGUCAGAUAAUUUACUUUUUUGUUUUCAACCUAAUAUAAAGCACCUCCAAACUUUCUGCCAUUUGCUAUUACUUUUCUCCCUCAGUGAGUGCCAAAUUAGCUCAAUUUUAGUUAAUUUGCAAGGUCUGACAAUCAAGACUAUCCUCAGCAGCAAGCAGAAAAAUUUCUGAAUGACUAGAUACAAUUUCAAGGGACAAGAAAUUUCUCUGUCCCUGGCUCAUUGGCAAUGAGGUAUCACAGCCAGGGUUUAUUCUUCUGUGAUCAUGAUAGUAUUUGAAGAACUCAACAAAAGAAUGUUAAUUCUGACAAUUUAUAA
ensembl:lncRNA MLIP-AS1 MLIP antisense RNA 1